AGAGGACUGUGGCAUAGAGAAGUGUGUCACAAGAUCACCCAGGAACUCUACAGCAGAGCCAUGGGUAAACUGGAACAGGAUCAACUGAAGAUCAUUACAAAGUUUUUGGAAGUAGGAGCAUAGUGAGAUAUACAACAGCUAUGGCUGCGCACUAGGAAGCACUGGACUGAAAAACUGGACCCGGAUUUCUGUUCUACCCAGUGGAACUAAAUUCUCGUUAUGCCACUAUGGAGUGGGUAUUUCUCUAACUGAAUAGCUGCAUUUUUCUGGGAUGUCACAUUCAGCAGUGGAUUGUGAAAUGCUUGAAAAAGGGAAUCAUAGGAGCAUUAUUUAAUGCUAAGUGUUACCCACAUCAUAUCUGAAGCUUGAACAUGCCAGGAAAACAUCCGUCACAUUCUGCAGCUAAUCUAUCCAGGCUUUCAGGAUCAGUCGUGAAUUGGCUGGCUCUUUUCCUACUCAUCCCCGACUUUAUCAACCAAAAAACAAUGAAAUGCCCUCUUCUGGUGUGA
rnacentral:lncRNA from 1 species